GGUAGAUAAGUUUUUUAAAUAUCCGUUAUAAUGAAAUGCAAUUAUAAACAGAAGAUGUAUGGGAAAAAGUAGAAGAAAAAUAUAAGUACAAUCGUUAAGGUAUUGCAUAACGAUAGUCAAUAUUGAAUCCAGUUUUCCCGGAGGAAAGCCGCAUGCCUCAAGGGUGAGUGUUGCCAGAAGUUCAAAACCAGAAAUCGGGACAUUGUGAUAAAAAUUGAUGGAUAUCAUCAAAUUAAUUUUACUGAAUUAUCAAUUAAAGAAUAUUGCUUAUUUUUUGUUAUUAUGUUAUAUAUUUUAAUUAAGUUUUUGUUAGAAAACCCGGUUACCCAAUCGUGGAUCUGUCAAAUCCAUAAUGGUCAUGAUUAAAUGUGAAGGUCCCCUUAGCGUCCAAAGGGCGAAGAGAACCAAAAAAUAAAAAAUAAAGCUAGACUAUGAGGGGCAGAUAUAAUCGUUGAUAGAUCUGUCGUCAAUGAUUGCACGAAACCAUAGUACAGGACCACAGAACGUGACGCGUACGCCAAAGAUUAGUAAAGGCGUACUCAUAAAGCGGGAUAUUUCGGAAAAAUUUUUCCAAUCAGGACGAAAUGUUCCAAAUGGAGAAAAUCCCGAAAAAUCGGAACGUGUGGCAACAUGAUUCCAAACGAAAAGAAGUUCAAAAAUUGUAAUACGUCAUCAAGAAC